UCGCAGUUCGAAUUUUGACAAUCAAUUGCGCCCUCAGACUCUGCGCUUGGUAAAAAUGAACCAUGCUCGACGGAGAUCUAUCGGCGAUGCAAGAAGAAGAUAUGGUGGGAGCGAGCUGCUGUAAUGUAUUGUCGCUCAGGCGUCUUUUGACAAAAGGUAGCAUGGGCCUAAUGGGCUGUACUUAUGGAUAAAGAACAUGUUACAUGGUGGAUGUGCCCUUGAAUCGUCCAUGGACAGGCUGUGACUGAGAUAAGUUCUCUCUUAUUACUUUCUUCUUUACUGAAUUUAUAUCUCAACAUGUGUUUCUUCUGAUUGAGGAAAGUAUUUGGUAACCAUAAAACUGUAAAUUACUUCCCCUAACAUCUCACUUAAGUAUGCAUAAAGCAAUUAAGAUUAACCCAUAUCCAGAUCCUCUUCUCAUCCUUAGAUGAUGUGUUAUGUUAAUGAUAACUUACUUGAGCGGAGUACUUACAUAGCAUAAUGCUUAAUUGCUCCCAUUAAUUUGAUUUCAAGAGCUUCUUUUUUGA